rnacentral:rRNA from 1 species
UACAGAGGGUGCAAGCGUUAAUCGGAAUUACUGGGCGUAAAGCGCGCGUAGGCGGCUUUGUAAGUUAGAGGUGAAAGCCCGGAGCUUAACUCCGGAACUGCCUUUAAGACUGCAUCGCUAGAAUUGUGGAGAGGUGAGUGGAAUUCCGAGUGUAGAGGUGAAAUUCGUAGAUAUUCGGAAGAACACCAGUGGCGAAGGCGACUCACUGGACACAUAUUGACGCUGAGGUGCGAAAGCGUGGGGAGCAAACAGG